GCCGCCUAGCUCAGUCGGUAGAGCGCAAGGCUCUUAACCUUGUGGUACCUGGGUUCAAGUCCCAGGGUGGGCG
rnacentral:tRNA from 1 species